rnacentral:lncRNA from 1 species
UUACCCGUAUCCGUCUCGAAUAUAAAAAUACCCGAAUCUGUAUCCGAAAAACGAGUAUUUGCACUAGCCGUAUCUGGUACCUGACGGAUAUACCCGACCCGUUUUCAUGUUGGAACCGGACCGCCGACACAUGGCGUGUUCGUCGGGGCCGCCCGCACACACGGCGCACCCACCCAGGCUAUCGGGCCGCGACACACGCGCCCGCACGUAUAGCAGCGGGCUUUAGGUCUCUUGGGCCAACACGCCCCCAAAAAGCUAGCCUAUUAGGGGGUUACGCCCUCAACCUUAUAAACCAUGCUUUUCCACCCUCACCACACAAUGUGGGGCUAUUCCCAAAUCCCAACAAUCUCCCCCUCACACAUUGUGAGCCAAGAUUUGUCUGAGAAUGCAUUGGGUCAACCUAGUUCUGAUACCAAUUAUUGGAACCGGAGCGCCGACACAUGGCGUGUCCGUCGGGGCCGCCCGCACACACGACGCGCCCACCCAGGCUGUCGUGCCGCGACACACGCGCCCGCACGUAUAGCAGCGGGCUUUAGGUCUCUUGGGCCAACACGCCCCCAAAAAGCUAGCCUAUUAGGAGGUUAUGCCCUCAACCUUAUAAACCAUGCUUUUCCACCAUCACCACACAAUGUGGGACUAUUCCCAACAAUCUCCCCUCACACAUUGUGAGCCAAGAUUUGUCUGAGAAUGCAUUGGGUCAACCUGGUUCUGAUACCAAUUGUUGGAACCGGACCGCCGACACAUGGUGUGUCCGUCGGGGUCGCCCGCACACACGGCGCGCCCACCCAGGCUAUUGGGCCGCGACACACGCGUCCGCACGUAUAGCAGUGGGCUUUAGGUCUCUUGGGCCAACACUCCCCC